UGUCAGAUAGCUCAGUUGGUAGAGUACCUGACUAGAGAUUCUGGGGGCCUGGGUUCGAAUCCCUGUCUGGUCA
rfam:Crassostrea gigas strain 05x7-T-G4-1.051#20 contig12560, whole genome shotgun sequence.